UACGUGGGGGGCAAGCGUUGUCCGGAAUCAUUGGGCGUAAAGCGCGCGUAGGCGGCCCUGUAAGUCCGCUGUAAAAGUCAAAGGCUCAACCUUUGAAAGCCGGUGGAUACUGCAGGGCUAGAGUCCGGAAGAGGCGAGUGGAAUUCCUGGUGUAGCGGUGGAAUGCGCAGAUAUCAGGAGGAACACCAAUAGCGAAGGCAGCUCGCUGGGACGGUACUGACGCUAAGGCGCGAAAGCGUGGGGAGCGAACAGG
rnacentral:rRNA from 1 species